AUUAAACGCUGGCGGCAUGCCUUACACAUGCAAGUCGAACGGCAGCACGGGGUGGUAACACUCUGGUGGCGAGUGGCGGACGGGUGAGUAAAGCAUCGGAACGUGCCCUGGAAUGGGGGAUAACGUAGCGAAAGUUACGCUAAUACCGCAUAUUCUGUGAGCAGGAAAGCAGGGGAUCGCAAGACCUUGCGUUCGAGGAGCGGCCGAUGUCGGAUUAGCUAGUUGGUGGGGUAAAGGCCUACCAAGGCGACGAUCCGUAGCGGGUCUGAGAGGAUGAUCCGCCACACUGGGACUGAGACACGGCCCAGACUCCUACGGGAGGCAGCAGUGGGGAAUUUUGGACAAUGGAGGGAACUCUGAACCAGCCAUCCCGCGUGCAGGAUGAAGGGGCUCUGCCCUGUAAACUGCUUUUGAAUGGGACGAAAAAAGCCUCACUUGUGAGGAACUGACGGUACCAUUAGAAUAAGCACCGGCUAACUCCGUGCCAGCAG
rnacentral:rRNA from 1 species